AUCAGUCAUAUUACCAAUGUGUGGAUGAGUGAGAAUGAGUGAUGAGUCUUGGCUGGUGCAGCAAACCAAACAAAGACAAGAUGGCUGUGAUAAAUGCAGGAGGGCCAGCUUAGUCAGUCAGUCAGUCAGUGAGAGAGAGAGAGAGAGAGAGAGAGAGAGAGAGAGAGAGAGAGCACUUCGGUUCUACCUCCACAGCUCCUUCCAGCCAGCCGUGCCCACGCAGGCUACCAUGGCAACUGAAGUCAGGCAAGAGCUUUGAGACUGGUACACUGGACUCCGAUGAGGAUGUAAACAUGGCUGCUUUGACGAGUAGACGAGCAAGGAGAAGAUGGAGUCACCUACGAGGUGCACCGGGCACAGACCGUGGGAGAUGGGUCAGAGGUUGGCGUGCCACCCCGACACCCAAGGACACUGGAGAUGAAGACAUUGCUGAUCUUCAUGUGAGCCAGUUGGUACCUGCUGCUUGCACUGGUUUCAUCCCAAAAUGGCGUAGCUCCAGACUUUGCUAGAUGUAAAUAGUGUGCUGUGCGAUACAUUUGUUUUUAAUUUCAUUUAUUUAUUGAAAAGUCAUAUUUUACUAUUUAUGCAACCUGAGUAUUUGCUUCGCAAUAAAAUAUAUUUUUAAGUGUU